ensembl:lncRNA
GUAACGGGAAGGAAGUCAGUGUCGGUGACUCUGCUAAGCUAGCGGCGUCACGUUACGUGCGUAUGACGUCAUGCGCCGUCGAUUAGGAAGCGGCUUAUACUUCCGGUUAGGAAAAAACCCGCCCGUGUUCUAUUUGAGAUGAUAUAGCUUUCUAAAAUUCAUACACUAGACGGUGGUGCAGAGUGCAGAGUGGUCACAGCUGAUCUGGAGCCUAUCCCUCAGGGCACAGUGCAGGGGACACCCUGGACAGGGUGCCAACCCAACGUAGGGCACACAAUCCCACACACAUUCACACACUACGGACAAUUUGGAAAGCCUACACAGGGAAAAUGGCCUGUUGAAGUGUGUGAGAAGCAGGUGCAGGACUUGGCCCCAGCAGCCCCAGCCUGUGGCCACGGCACGGAAUAAUAGCAGCAGUGUUUCUACACAGUGGAGCGCUGUCACAACCAGCCACUUGCAAAAAUACGACACGUUUUUCAUAGACGUGUGCGCCGGGAAGGAGAAGCUCAAAGAUGAGAACGGGUUUCCUUUUGAGUCUGGUUCCUCUCAAGGUUUCUCCCUCAUGCUGUCUCAUGGAGUGUUUGCUUGCCACUGUCACCUCUGGUACUUCAAAAAUCAUGCAUAGAUAGCAGCCAUAAGAACAGGACAAAACUGUGACAAAUGGCUUUGAAAAGCAGUUCUGACACAGUUGGGAAAGCCCUAAAACCUCCAAGCUAUAAAGGCCUAUGUAAGUCACAUGAAGGAGAAUAAUUUUUGAAUGGAUGGAGGACAGUCAUGAGUCAGUGUCCAUGAAUGAACAAUCUGAACAAUAAUAAUAAUAAUAACAUUGGGAGAGAUUUAGAAACGCCUUUAACAGCUGAGAGCCAGCUGGAAACGUCGACCCUAAAGGUGCAGAACGUCUCCGCUCCUAACGCAAAGCAGUAGUUCCACAGUGGAUUCUGGACUGCCAUAUGGACCGACGUAGCAUUUUUACCACCCCAUGACUACGAUCAGAAGAGGGAGCAAAUUACAUGCCUUAUCUGAUGUGGAAGGGACUGCCGGUCAACUUGAAGGACACCGAGCAGCUGUUUGUGUGCUUUGGGGAGUACCAUAAGCCGGCUUCGCUGUCUAAGGACUGGUUAGGCCACUGCCUAAAGGACGUGAUUACACAGGCAUACUCACAUUACCAAAAGGCCAGGUCCUCUGAGGAGUGCUAUGAGGAGAGCAGAAACACAUUUGAAAUAGAAGGCUCUGCGUGAUUUUUUUAUACGAGGCCCGGGGUACGGUUGUCAUGAAAUGACACCUUCAAUGUACUUCAGAAAUUGCUGCCUAUGGAAAUGAACACACAGGAAGCCUUCUGAAGGAAACCGCUAUGGUGGUUGUCCUAUUAGUCAUAGAACUAUGGUUACAUAUAUUACCUUCCAUUUCAAAGGAAGUGAUUGGUAAUUACUUAAAAAUGUAAGAUAUUUCGAUCAAUAUCAACUGUUCUACCAUGAAAACACGUGAUUAAAUGUAUAAUCCGUAUCGAGGUUUUUAUUUUUGUACUGAUUGUAUAUAGCUGUGGUAUGAAACGGUUAAUGACUCAACAGUGACGCAUAAUUUAUGUUUUCGAGAAUUCCUCCCUGCAGAUUUGCAAAUGAGAGAAUCACAGAGUAAUGCUUUCAUGGAGCUCUGAACUGUAAAUAGCACAUAUUUUCGCAAUAACUGACAAGGUGCUAGGACUAUUCAUUGUGUCAUUAAAUAUCAGACAUUAAUUGCAGCCUUGAUUUCAAAUGGCUUGAUUUGCACUCAUUAAUUGACAUAUUACUACACGUUGUUGAAUAAUUAGCCAGCUUCUUAUAUUAUGAAUAUAGUUUACCGUGCUAACAAAGACGAGGGUGCAUUUGCAUGUCCUGCACACACGCUUCUUCAUUCAACAUUUCCCCCUAUAACAUAACAUAAUAUGACCUUCGCAUCAUUCUAUACUGUAUAGUCAUGUGUAUUUUCUUAUCGACCUUCUUGAAGAUUGUAACACAAGGACUUAAUGAAAAGAACUCAUAUUACGCAUCCGUGAGGCAUUCUGGCAGCUGACAACAGAAGAUAUAUGCUAUUACGUGUGUACAUAUACAAUUGGUUCCUGAAGUAGGCAGGCGUUCCUCUGUAAGAGGAAUUUGAAAUGUGUGUCUUGGGAGGCUAACCGUUUGUUUGCAGUUCUUCUACGACACAGGCUAGAGGUGCGAAAAGGGGCUUAGCCUGCUGAAAAACCAUUUUGCUCCCAAUCUGGCAGACCGGGCCACAGGUAAAUUGAGUGUAUCUCUAGAGAGUUGAAACAGGCUUGUCAAAUGUCAGUUCAGAGAUGUUCACGAAGCCAAAGACCAUGUGAGCACGACCACAUGCUGUGAUGCAUACUCUUUAGUGGAUAGCACAAUCUCUCUGAACAGCUCUGGAAGAAUUGUCAGGAGGAUGGGGAUCUGGGGUGCAGUUCUGAGAAUUAGUUAUCAUAUUGAUGCUUUGAGUGCUGACAUUUCCCAGCUUAAACUAUCUACGCAUGGCUAAGUAUACGUUCCAGAGAGUCUUCUUUCACCUUCAAAUUCAGGGAUCCUGCUAUUAAGUUGUUUGUUCAGAUAUAUAUGACAAAGCCGGGUUAAUCUAGCUGAAAUAUAACUUUUCACGUUUGCGGAUAGUGCAUCUGGAAGGUUGAAUUUAACAUCGCUAUCUCUUUAUUCUAAAUUAACACUGGUUUUCGCAAAGCAUCCCUGGAGUGUCCCCUGACUUAAUUGCCAUUCAGAGCACAGCAGCCACAUAAUAAUAUAUGCAGACUGUGGAAAUAUAUGUAUUUCAGUAGGCAAAGUGAUUACAAAGUACAUGACUAAAGACGUAAUCAGUAAUGUCGUUUUAAAACGACAUAAAACAUCUUAUUUGACUUCUGGACCAUUAACUUAACUGACCUUUUUAUGUAAAAUAAUCUUUAACGAGGAAAAUAUGUUAACGGCUGCCUCUUUUAUUAUAUAUAUAUUUAAAAAAAGGCAAACAUAAAGUGCUUAAGUAUACGCUUUAAAUGAAGGUUCACUUACUUAGCAUUAUUUAUUGCAGAUAGCAUUAAGAAACCGGUUAACCAAUUGAAACUACGGACAUAACUUUACCAUAAAUAACCUACACAUAACAUGAAUAAAAACGUUAAACUUCUGCUGAUGAAAUAAGUUUGCAUAAUAAUGAAUUAAUGAACGCUUUCAUUACACAAUGAUCAAUUAAUUAAGGACUAAUAUAAAUGAUGAAUCUAAAUGAAAUGGCACAGACAGUACCUCUGAUUGUAAGGUACAUCACAGGUUUAUGUUAAUGCUCUUGUGCGAAUACUGUAUUGUUUUUAGAUUAACAACACACAGAGUCUUGCUGGUUGGUCCACAUAAACAGAUAACAAUGUGUAACAGGAGAUAUUUAUUUAGCACUUUUGGAGGGACUCCAGUGUCCGUGCUUUGUAUUAGUAAAUCUGUAAUGUUAAGCUAAAGUCAGAGGUCGGUAGUAAUGCGUUCACUUUUUUAUCUGCUGAGUUGAGAGGGGGGAGAAGCGAGAGUGAGCUCUAAACACACACACACACACACACACACACACACACACACACACACACACACACUUUCUCUUCUGUUCUGUUCCUUAGUCUGUUCUUUUGUUCUCUGUUGUCUUGUUUAAAUGCAGAUGCUGCCAAGUUUGUGUUGUUAACAUGUGAAAAUAAA